UACGAAGGGGACUAGCGUUGUUCGGAUUUACUGGGCGUAAAGCGCGCGUAGGCGGAUCGCUAAGUCAGGGGUGAAAUCCCAGGGCUCAACCCUGGAACUGCCUUUGAUACUGACGAUCUGGAGAUCGGGAGAGGUUGGUGGAAUUCCGAGUGUAGAGGUGAAAUUCGUAGAUAUUCGGAGGAACACCAGUGGCGAAGGCGGCUUACUGGUCCGGAACUGACGCUGAGGUGCGAAAGCGUGGGGAGCAAACAGG
rnacentral:rRNA from 1 species